GACGAACGCUGGCGGCGUGCCUACUACAUGCAAGUAGAACGCUGCAGGCGGAUCUUGCUUCUCUGGAUGAGUUGCGAACUGGUGAGUAACGCGUAGGUAACCUGCCUGGUAGCGGGGGGGAACUUUUGGCAACGAUAGGUCAUACCGCAUAAGAGUAGAUGUCGCAUGACGUUUGCUUAAAAGGUGCGCUUGCUUCACUACCAGAUGGACAUGCGUUGUAUUAGCUAGUUGUUGGGGUAACGGCUCACCAAGGCAACGUUACAUAGCCGACCUGCGAGGGGAAUCGGCCACACUGGGACGGGGGCACGGCCCAGAACACUGCGGGUGGCAGCAGUAGGGAAUCUUUGGCAAUGGACGGAAGUCGGACCGAGCAACGCCGCGUGAGUGAAGAAGGCUUUAGGAUCGUGAAGGUCUGUAGUAAGAGAAGAACGAGAGGGUGAGUGGAAAGUGCACACUGUGACGGUAUCGUACCAGAAAGCGACGGCUAACUACGUG
rnacentral:rRNA from 1 species